rnacentral:rRNA from 1 species
UACAGAGGGUGCGAGCGUUGUUCGGAAUUACUGGGCGUAAAGGGCUCGUAGGCGGCCAACUAAGUCGGAUGUGAAAUCCCCAGGCUCAACCUGGGGAACUGCAUCCGAUACUGGAUGGCUUGAAUUCGGGAGAGGGAUGCAGAAUUCCAGGUGUAGCGGUGAAAUGCGUAGAUAUCUGGAGGAAUACCGGUGGCGAAGGCGGCAUCCUGGACCGACAUUGACGCUGAGGAGCGAAAGCCAGGGGAGCAAACGGG